UUGAGGCGAGCCUUGGGCUGUUUUAGAGGCGCUGACAUCCGAGGAGACUUCUCCUGGGCUGGAUGAACAAUGUUUGAGAGAAGAAGAGGAGGGCAUAGAGCAGGCAGGCAGGGAAAGGAGCUGGGAGGGGCCCAGCUCUGAGGCCUCCCCACACCUAUCUUCUUGGAGGGAACUGGAUAUCGCUGAAGGAAAGUUGAAAAAUGAAAAAGGAUAACCUUUUCCCUUUCCCCAUCCAGGAAAUAGCUGAAGGAGGCCCAACAGCCAAGAUGAGCCCACUCGGCUCAAGAGAACACCCGAUGGAGGCUAAAGCCACCCUGGAAGGCCAAGUGCGAGUUGAAUUUUUUGAAGAGUCCAAGGUGGGCAUGACUGUGACAUUGGCCCUGGAGACUGGUUUCCCAUGAGUUGUUCUUUCUCAGGAGCUCCACAGUGCGGGGCCAUCUCCAGAAAACAGUCUUCAGUGUGUAUUUCCUUUUAUCAUCAACCCAGAGCCCCACGGCAGCUAAUGCAAGAGGCCAAAAAUGUUUUGGAGGAAGAAAAACAAAGGCAGGAAGUGGCGACGGCUUGACGGUGCGUGUGUGUCUGAGGAGAAGGGAGGGAGCCAUUUCAAUCUCUUCUUGUUUUUCCAAACUUCAAGGUCUAGGCAGCCCUCACAGGGCCGGCCCGACGCUCCCCGCGCAGCAUUUGGAGAUGGCCACCCGGAGAGGAGAAGGCUGGCGCCCGAGCCAGCCUUGUCAGGCGGAAACGGCUAACGAGGCGAUUUGCUCAGCAAAGCAGACCAAUCCUUUCCAAACUUCGUUUGAUUUGGCCCUAAAAGUGGGGGGUUGGGGGAUUCUGCAAUGCCUCCCGGACCCUCCUCGGUGGGCAGGCUGAGCGCUCCUUGGAGGGGACUCCUGAGCCCUGCACUCCACGCACCUUCCCAGGCGGGAUAUGGGAAUAAAGUGUGUCCAGGUGCCUCUGCCCAGCA